GGUUCUAUAGUGUAGUGGUUAUCACGUCUGCUUUACGCGCAGAAGGUCCUGGGUUCAAUCCCCAGUGGAACCA
rnacentral:tRNA from 1 species